CCGACCUGGGCUUUUAAAGAGAGAGCUCUCUGUCCGCCGAGUGUUCUGUGGACGCGGGGAAGGACAGCCUUGCUCCCAGACCUCAGCCUUGCCUUCUCCUCAGAGGUGACUCCUUUGUCUCCAGGUGUCUUAGAAGAUGAGCACCACCGUUGGAGGGAGAGACCAACCACUCACGAGCACCCGCCCUCUCGGCACCGCACCAUGGGGACCUGUGGCCGCCACCUUUGGGGCAGCAGAAGAGAAGGAAGAGGAGGUGUCAGCUUACGGGGCUCAGAAGUGACGCUUGUCCUUGCUGCUCACAGCCCGUGGGCCAGAAUGAGUCACGUGGCCCCAACUAACCAAGGAAACAGGGAAUGUAGGUGAGCACUGUCUCCCUGUAAGAUUGUGUAAAAGUGCAGAAAAUUAUAAUAAGAAGAAGACCUGUUUCAGAGAGUGGUUUUUAGCAUUAAAUGAACUGAUCCAUUUUACCAUCCAAUGACGGACACUUUGAAAUGAAUGAGCUGUUACGGUUUGGA